rnacentral:rRNA from 1 species
GAUGAACGCUGGCGGCGUGCCUAAUACAUGCAAGUCGAGCGAACAGAUGAGGAGCUUGCUCCUCUGACGUUAGCGGCGGACGGGUGAGUAACACGUGGAUAACCUACCUAUAAGACUGGGAUAACUUCGGGAAACCGGAGCUAAUACCGGAGAAUAUAUUCAACCGCAUGGUUCAAUAGUGAAAGACGGUUUUGCUGUCACUUAUAGAUGGAUCCGCGCCGCAUUAGCUAGUUGGUAAGGUAACGGCUUACCAAGGCAACGAUGCGGAGCCGACCUGAGAGGGUGAUCGGCCACACUGGAACUGAGACACGGUCCAGACUCCUACGGGAGGCAGCAGUAGGGAAUCUUCCGCAAUGGGCGAAAGCCUGACGGAGCAACGCCGCGUGAGUGAUGAAGGUCUUCGGAUCGUAAAACUCUGUUAUUAGGGAAGAACAAAUGUGUAAGUAACUAUGCACGUCUUGACGGUACCUAAUCAGAAAGCCACGGCUAACUACGUG